rnacentral:rRNA from 1 species
GACGAACGCUGGCGGCGUGCUUAACACAUGCAAGUCGAACGGAAAGGCCCCUUUGGGGGUACUCGAGUGGCGAACGGGUGAGUAACACGUGAGUAACCUGCCCUUGACUUCGGGAUAACUUCAGGAAACUGGGGCUAAUACCGGAUAGGAAUCCUUGCUGCAUGGUGGGGGUUGGAAAGCUUCGGCGGUUUUGGAUGGACUCACGGCUUAUCAGCUUGUUGGUGGGGUAGUGGCUUACCAAGGCUUUGACGGGUAGCCGGCCUGAGAGGGCGACCGGCCACAUUGGGACUGAGAUACGGCCCAGACUCCUACGGGAAGCAGCAGUGGGGAAUAUUGCACAAUGGGCGGGAGCCUGAUGCAGCAACGCCGCGGGCGGGAUGACGGCCUUCGGGUUGUAAACCGCUUUCAGCAGGGGCGAAGCUUGUGGUGACGGUACCUGCAGAAGAAGCACCGGCUAACUACGUG